AAGUAACGAUUAGGAGGGCGAGAACCCCUCCCGCCGAACGACUAAGGUUUCCCAGGCAAUGCCAUUCAUCCUGGGGUCAGUCGGGUCCUAAGGCUAAGCCGAGCGGCGAGGCCGAUGGCAGACACGGUCAACAUUCCGUGACUACCGCCAUCAGUGAUGUCCUGACGGAGCAGUGACACCUCCGCGCCCUGACGGAAUAGGGCGUUGAAGGGCGUAGGCUAUGAUGAUGCCAGGCAAAUCCGGCAUCAGAGCUGAAACCUGAAAGUACGGGGUCCCCUUCGGGGGAACCUGAGAGCGAGGGUAACCAUACUCCCGAGAAAAUGGGCUAAACUCAUGUUGGCGGUACCCGUACCGCAAACCGACACAGGUAGUUGGGUAGAACAUACUAAGGCGUUGAGAGAUUCAUGGCUAAGGAACUAGGCAAACUGACCCCGUAACUUCGGGAUAAGGGGUCCUCACCUCCGGGUGAGGCGCAGAGAAUAGGUCCAGGCAACUGUUUAACAAAAACACAGGGCUGUGCGAACUCGAAAGAUGAAGUAUACAGCCUGACACCUGCCCGGUGCCGGAAGGUUAAGAGGAGAUGUCACCGCAAGGGAAGCAUUGAAUUGAAGCCCCGGUAAACGGCGGCCGUAACAAUAACGGUCCUAAGGUAGCGAAAUUCCUUGUCGGGUAAGUUCCGACCUGCACGAAUGGUGUAAUGAUCCGGACGCUGUCUCGGCCAUGAGCUCAGUGAAACUGUAGUAUCGGUGAAGAUGCCGAUUACCCGCGAUGGGACGAAAAGACCCCGUGAACCUUUACUACAGCUUAGCAUUGACCUUGGUCAUCCGAUGUGUAGGAUAGGCCGGAGGCUUCGAAGCGGCGUCGCCAGGCGUUGUGGAGCCAUCCUUGAAAUACGGCCCUUUGGCUGUCUGAGGUCUAACGCGGAUAGUCGCGGACACUGCUUGGUGGGUGGUUUGACUGGGGUGGUCGCCUCCAAAAGCGUAACGGAGGCUUCCAAAGGUGCCCUCGGGCCGUUUGGUAAGCGGCCUUCAAGAGUGCAAUGGCAAAAGGGCGCUUGACUGGAGGGAGACAUCCCGAGCAGGCAGGAAACUGGGGCAUAGUGAUCCGGCGGAUGUGUAUGGAAACUCCGUCGCUCAAAGGAUAAAAGGUACUCCCGGGAUAACAGGCUGAUCCCCCCCAAGAGCUCAUAUCGACGGGGUGGUUUGGCACCUCGAUGUCGGCUCGUCACAUCCUGGGGCUGGAGAAGGUCCCAAGGGUUGGGCUGUUCGCCCAUUAAAGUGGCACGCGAGCUGGGUUCAGAACGUCGUGAGACAGUUCGGUCUCUAUCUAUCGUGGGCGCAGGAGUUUUGAGUGGUGCUGUCACUAGUACGAGAGGACCGUGACGGACAGACCUCCGGUGUACCGGUUGUGCCGCCAGGCGCACCGCCGGGUAUCCGCGUCUGGAUCGGAUAAGCGCUGAAAGCAUCUAAGUGCGAAGCUUUCCACGAGAUUAGAACUCCAUUGAGGGUCGUCGCAGACGACGACGUUGAUAGGGCGCAGGUGUAAAGACGGCGACGUCAAAGCCGAGCGCUACUAAUUGCCC
rnacentral:rRNA from 1 species